rnacentral:ncRNA from 2 species
GGCCCCGCUCCGGGGUGCACGCAUGUGGCGUGCUGAGAUGGCAAAGCUGCCGACCCGCGAACUUGAUCCGGGUCAUACCGGCGUAAGAAGAGCUGCACUCCCUGAC